AUUGAACGCUGGCGGCAGGCCUAACACAUGCAAGUCGAGCGGGGUUUUCGGACCUAGCGGCGGACGGGUGAGUAAUGCGUAGGAAGCUGCCCGAUAGAGGGGGAUACCAGUUGGAAACGACUGUUAAUACCGCAUAAUGUCUACGGACCAAAGUGUGGGACCUUCGGGCCACAUGCUAUCGGAUGCGCCUACGUGGGAUUAGCUAGUUGGUGAGGUAAUGGCUCACCAAGGCGACGAUCUCUAGCUGGUUGGAGAGGAUGAUCAGCAACACUGGAACUGAGACACGGUCAAGACUCCUACGGGAGGCGGCAGUGGGGAAUAUUGGACAAUGGGCGCAAUCCUGAUCCAGCCAUGCCGCGGGUGUGAAGAAGGCCUUCGGGUUGUAAGCACUUUCAGCGAGGAGGAAGGGGUGUGUGUUAAUAGUACAAACCUUUGACGUUACUCGCAGAAGAAGCACCGGCUAACUCUGUGCCAGCCGCCGCAGUAACAC
rnacentral:rRNA from 1 species